rnacentral:pre_miRNA from 1 species
AAAACUUAGGUACAAUUCUUUAGAUACUUUUUGUGUGGUUCUUAACUAAAAAUACAUCUUUUUUGGAGUAACAAACUUUAAGAAAAUUAUGGAUUUAAAGAAAUCAUGAUGAAUUUAGUUAAGAACCAUACGAAAAGCACAUAAGGAAUUGUACGUAAGUUUU